UACAGAGGUCUCAAGCGUUGUUCGGAUUCAUUGGGCGUAAAGCGCGCGUAGGCGGCUCGGAAAGUCGGGCGUGAAAUGCCGGGGCUCAACCCCGGGACUGCGUCCGAUACUUCCGAGCUGGAGGUAGGUAGGGGAGAUCGGAAUUCCUGGUGUAGCGGUGAAAUGCGCAGAUAUCAGGAGGAACACCGGUGGCGAAGGCGGAUCUCUGGGCCUUACCUGACGCUGAGGCGCGAAAGCUAGGGGAGCGAACAGG
rnacentral:rRNA from 1 species